AACGAACGCUGGCGGCAUGCCUAACACAUGCAAGUCGAACGAGACCUUCGGGUCUAGUGGCGCACGGGUGCGUAACGCGUGGGAACCUGCCCUUAGGUUCGGAAUAACUCCCCGAAAGGGGUGCUAAUACCGGAUAAUGUCUUCGGACCAAAGAUUUAUCGCCUUUGGAUGGGCCCGCGUUGGAUUAGCUAGUUGGUAGGGUAAAAGCCUACCAAGGCGACGAUCCAUAGCUGGUCUGAGAGGAUGAUCAGCCACACUGGGACUGAGACACGGCCCAGACUCCUACGGGAGGCAGCAGUGGGGAAUAUUGGACAAUGGGCGAAAGCCUGAUCCAGCAAUGCCGCGUGAGUGAUGAAGGCCUUAGGGUUGUAAAGCUCUUUUACCCGGGAUGAUAAUGACAGGACCGGGAGAAGAAGCUCCGGCGAACUCCGU
rnacentral:rRNA from 1 species